CAACGGAGAGUUUGAUCCUGGCUCAGGACGAACGCUGGCGGCGUGCCUAACACAUGCAAGUCUAGGGAGAAAGGGGUAGCAAUAUCCCGAGUACACCGGCGCAAGGGUGAGUAACACGUAGGCAACCUGCCCUGGGGAUGGGAAUAACCCCGAGAAAUCGGGGCUAAAACCCAAUAAUGCAGCGGCAUCUCAUGAUGAUGUUGUUAAAUGUCGCGAGACGCCUCAGGAUGGGCCUGCGUCCCAUUAGGUAGUUGGCGGGGUAACGGCCCACCAAGCCGACGAUGGGUAGCUGGUCUGAGAGGACGAUCAGCCACACUGGAACUGAGACACGGUCCAGACUCCUACGGGAGGCAGCAGUGAGGAAUAUUG
rnacentral:rRNA from 1 species